rnacentral:lncRNA from 1 species
ACAAACAAUGUAUUCAUUAAUGACACAUAUUGAAAAUAUUAUUCUCUACAAGGUAUUGGAUCAUUCCACACUCUCACGAGUUCUUCCUUAAUUCAAAAUCUUCAUUCAUUACAAGAGCAAGCAUUCAGCUUCCACUUCCCCUCACUUCCUCGAAUUAAUUUUUGAGGAAGGUGCAAUUCACAUCCCUAUUCUAUUGUCCUUAACCUCAUGGGUUACCCUGAUGGAACUUGCCCUAUCCACCAAACCACCGCUCCACUUUCGGAAGCACAAAACAAUCAUCACAAUUGUCAAUUCGACCUACAUCUUUUGAAUGCGACAAGACCAAUUAGUUCUUCAUGCCUCUCUGAAACCAUUAUCCCUAAUUGCCAUCGUCACUACCCAAAUAGCUUGGUCACAACGUGACUGUAUUUCACCAAAAGAUUAACAAUCCCACAUUCUUCAUCUCAAAGACAAAUUGCCCCAAUUUACACAGAAUAUUGCAAAAUUUCCUCUCAGAGUCAAAACUCUCUCUAAAGAAACUUGUAGCCCGCGUUUGGCCCAUAUUAAUUAUCAUUCCAUUAUAUUACAUUUUUCUCUCUUCAAUUUUCAACCACAUAAUCUUCCAUAAAAUAAUAUUACACAUAAAUCGAAAUUUUUUUCUUCUUUUUCAAUCACUCAUUUUUCAAAAAAAUAUUAUUCCACCUAUUAACUUUUCUACAAAAUGGGGGGCCAAACGGGGGCGUAAUCUUGGCAUACAGCUCAGUGAUGUCGACGUGCUCAUAUAUUGUACUAGAGGUCUUGGUUCAACUUACAAGAAGGUCAUUGCUACCUUUUGAACCCCCAUCGAACUUGAAGAGCUCUUCGACAAGCUCAUUGACAAUGAAUAGACCUCUAGGAUGCAGAAAAUGUCACCAUUAAAUCUUCUUCCUCUGCCCAAAACACACAGUCUACUCCACAGCCUACAAACAAACCAGCAACCCAGUUUUAAAGAAUCAAGCUUCUUAAUGAAAUUAAGUUUUUAAUUAUUAUUUUUUGGAUUAAAAAUUGGAGAAAAUCUCAACAACUAAUAUUAACUGAAGAAUUCGAAUUAGUAUUUGGGC